GUUAACGGUGGCUUGUGACCCGAGUGAGGCAUUAAAAUGAUGGAACAAGCUGUAUUGGGCCUUAGGUGGUGCACUGCAUGUGCAGUAAUUAACUUAUGUGUUCUUCAAUUCCUCAGUAAAUAAAAAUAAGGUAGUAGAGUCUGAUUGUUCAGAGUGCCAUUACGUGGAGGCUCUUCAUUCUGCUGCCUUACCAGAGCGGCAAGUGCAUAUCUGACACAAUUGAAAAACAUCCUCCAAAAAUUGAAAACUGCACUACCAAGGCCCUUUCGAAUUGAAUUCGAAUACUUCCCUUAGACCAAC
rnacentral:lncRNA from 1 species